rnacentral:rRNA from 1 species
UACGGAGGGUGCGAGCGUUGUCCGGAAUCACUGGGCGUAAAGCGUGCGCAGGCGGUUUUGUAAGUUUGUCGUGAAAUCCCCGGGCUCAACCUGGGAAUUGCGAUGAAGACUGCAAGGCUAGAAUCUGGCAGAGGGGGGUAGAAUUCCACGUGUAGCAGUGAAAUGCGUAGAGAUGUGGAGGAACACCGAUGGCGAAGGCAGCCCCCUGGGUCAAGAUUGGACGCUCAUGCACGAAAGCGUGGGGAGCAAACAGG